GUUUCCGUAGUGUAGUGGUUAUCACGUGUGCUUCACACGCACAAGGACCCCGGUUCGAUCCCGGGCGGAAACA